rnacentral:tRNA from 1 species
AGAAAGUUCCCUAUAAUGGGUUGGUGUCUUGAAAACACCAUAGCAAAAGGGCAGAGCUUUUGACUUUCUU